GAGACAAUUGUUUCGUUCCGGUCCGCUUCCUGGGUUGCGAUACCGCGAUCAGCCCCACGCACGCAAAAGGAAACCUCGCUCCUCGCAGGAAACCUCACGCCUCCAAUCGCUCUCUCCCCCUCGCGAGAUCCCUCGCCCCUGUGCGGCCGCCCCUCGCUCCCUCGCGAGAUCCCUCGCCCCCGUGCAGUCGUGCCCCUCGCGAGAUCCCUCGCCCCCGUGCAGUUGUGCCCCUCGCGAGAUCCCUCGCCCCCAUGUGGCCGUGCCCCUCGCCGUGCGCUACCGUGCGCCUCUCCCCGUGGAUGCUACUGCAGAUUGCAGUGCUGCCCCGUAGCGGCAGUGGCUGGUGGCCAGCAGUAACCAACAGGCGAGCAGAGCAGAUCGUGGACUGCAGCAGCCGGCUCCCUCGACUCGGCCCCUUGGCGGUCGAUGGCGGUCGACUCUCGCCGGCGGCCAGCAACCAAGCAUUGAAGGUAACCAGACACAAGUCUCCUCAACACGCAAUGAUUUUGUUUUCUCCUCUGAUUUACAGAGUGUUUAGUUCCCCUUCUAUUCCAGAAAAAUUUUAAAUUUAGCUCUAUUAUUUUGCAUAAUAAAACUAAACAUCAUGUAAAAAUUUUAACAAAAGAUGGUUAUUCUCUAUUUUAGAUUUUGAUCUUUCAAAGUAGUUGGCAUUUUGCAUUUUGCAUUUUGUAUUUUAUGGAGAACUAAACAACCCCUUAAACUAAAUCACAAUCUAAUUGAUGAAAUUUAUAGGGAAGCGCUAUGCAAAGUGCCUAUGUGCUUACUGCAAUUUAAACAAAUUUAUUUGUAUAUGCUACUGUGUGCUACUUUAUUUAGUGCCAUCAUAAAAAUUCUAUAAAUAAUUUCUUUUGACAUUUUGUUUCUAAAUUGCAAUGUACAUGGAAAAUACGUGUGCUAGCACUAGCAUAUUUUAUUGUGGCAGGAAGCUAGCACUUAUAUAUUUGCAUUGUAUUUUUUUCUACAUGGAAUACCCUGCGGCGAAAUCCUGGCUCCGCCACUGCUCGCCGACCGGAUGAGCCCCGUCACCGCCCCAAGCACUAGCAGACAUGCCUCCAUCGGUUGCAUCUCAAGCUCCGCCCCAUCCCCAGCUGAUGCCACCCAGAUUGAGCUGCUGUUCUCGUGAAGUGGGAGCUAGAAGAGCUCGUGACGUGGAUCUAAAGUUUGCGAUGCCAGAGCUGCUUGUGGAUCCCUGCUCACUCUCUCUCUAUCUAUCUAUCUAUCUCGCUCUCGCUCUCUCUAUCCUAUUUUUGUUUCCCUCAGAUUUCCCAAUUAAUUUGGUUCCUCAACUAGGGUUUGGAUAGUGGUUGCUGAUGAUUGCAUUUCCCGGCAUGGCAGGUUCGUUCCUGGCACCAACGUUGCGGAAGAAAAUGAUCUAUCCAUGAACUGAUAAAGCUUUGAAUGUUGGUGAAUGGUGACCUUCUGGAAUUGGAGCGAUCUGUUUAUGUUCAUUGUGUGCAGUUCAGAUGCAACUACUGAAAAGCGUCACAUAGAUCCAGAGUCACGAGCUGCUAAUGCUUGGAAUGAGUCCUUGAACCAUUCACAAAAUAUCUAUAUUUGCAGGCAAGUCAAAGAAAAAUCCCUAUUUUGAUUGAUGCCGCAAGAAAGAGGGAGCAGCUGGAUGAGCUUCUCAAUUUUGCAUCUUACAUUGUAUGGUCUGCAAAGUUUCCUCAAGCUUGGACAGGAGCGUCAUCAAUACCUGUUGCUUUAGUAUCCAUGCUCCAAGGUUACCAAACAUCAAAUUUGUUAUUGUAUCCCUGGGGGAGAAAGGUUGCUUAAUGUUUGAGAGAAGCAUGACAAGUUUGUUUACCAUAGCUCUCUAUUGUAAUGUUACAUAAGUACUUGAGAUAAGACAUGGGUACUGAAUGUAUGUUUUGUUAGACCAGUUGGAUGUCUGUUAAAGAUCAGAAAAUUUCGAGAUUGUCUUUCCUUCAUAUUGAGUGUUUGUGAUUAAUUGUCAAGUUAAUUUGCUUAUAAAAUUCUUGAUACAGUGAGAGUGUUUGUGUUUGUUAAGAUAUUUUCAAAUUUGAACCCAUUGCUUUGCAAACCUACCUGUUGUCAAUCUUGCAGCAGUUCUGAACCUGCAUGCUACCACUAAUGGGAGUAGGAGGCUAAUGGCAGUUCUGACAUUAGAGCAUCGGCUGCUGAGGUCUCUUCUUUACCUACUUAUAAUAGGUAGUUAACCUAAAGUCUUCUUAUAUGUUUUUGAAGUCUUCGUAUAUGUACAACAAAAACAUGUAUUGAACCAAUCAUUACCUUUGGUUGACCCACGACAAUACGUGCGUCCAACUUUGCUUUUUAUUAAAUAUCACUUUAACAUUGGUAUUUAAUUUUACAGUAUUGUUAUCUUAUCGUGUGAUCUAUGUAUUUAUAUUAUAAAAUAUUAGCUAUCUCGUAGCAACGUAUGGACAUGCUAUCUAGUUUUUAGAAAAAUAAGAACCCCCUACAGUUUCUAAGAAAAAUCAUAGGGCGCUUUUUUUUCAUAUCGAAGUGUUCUCUAGGAAUAUUUUCUUACGAAAUACCGUAAGGGCUUAGAUUCCCUACGGUUUUGGGUCUUUUCCCUAGGAAUUCAAACUAUAGGGAAACUCGUAAUUUUCAGUAGUGAUAACAAUAAGUUGACUAAAAUAAAACAGUGAGAUUUACUGCAUGGGAACGUAGGAAUGUGAGAGAUGAAAUAAAUGAUUCAAAAAAAAGCCUGCAGAUUUAGAUGAUAAAAAUAAGAUUGUGGCAUUCUUUCUUACUUUUUGUCUGUGAUGAAAAGGGUACUUUAGGUGCAGGAUAUAAUCACUGGAUCAUUGAGAAUUUGUGACAAACAUUUGUUUCCUGCCACACUGCUGCUUAGCACAGUAGUGGGAAUGUCCAGUCUAGCACUGCAGCCAACAGGACGAGUGGAUUGGUCACUGAUGGGUGGAUGCCUGUUGAAUGGCUAUAGCCAUUCACCAAGCAAACUGAAUCGCCGAGCGUCAGAUACACAUUUCUUCAUCAUCUGCCUGGGCCCUGGACGCGUGGGCCUCCAAUCACACGGGCGCAGCCCAAUAGACCCAACUGUGGUGCCUAGGAUGGAAAUGGAUCAGAUUCUCGUAUUGAAUUGGAUUUGGAUGCCACCUUUUACCAUAUUUUAAAUUAGGCAGAGCUCCUGCCAUUACUUUCAAAAAUAUUUUAAAUCAGAUUUGAAUAUAGAUACGGAUCUGGCUAAAUACGCAUGCCUCCGAUUUAGAUUUCUAUUAGGGUAUCAAAUUUAAUUAUCAAAUAAAUAAAGAAAAGGAUCCAAAUGAAAUCAACAUCUAGACUUAGGGUUUUAUCUGACAGAAUUCCACGAGUUUUGGUGUUUGUCUAUUUCUGCAGGGGGUUAUCA